CAGUCGCCGCGGUAAUACGAAGGGGGCUAGCGUUGUUCGGAUUUACUGGGCGUAAAGCGCACGUAGGCGGAUCCUUAAGUCAGAGGUGAAAUCCCAAGGCUCAACCUUGGAACUGCCUUUGAUACUGGGGAUCUCGAGUUCGGGAGAGGUGAGUGGAACUGCGAGUGUAGAGGUGAAAUUCGUAGAUAUUCGCAAGAACACCAGUGGCGAAGGCGGCUCACUGGCCCGAUACUGACGCUGAGGUGCGAAAGCGUGGGGAGCAAACAGGAUUAGAUAUCCCAGUAGUCCCUGUCUCUUAUAC
rnacentral:rRNA from 1 species